AGCAGCCGCGGUAAUUCCAGCUCCAAUAGCGUAUAUUAAAGUUGUUGCAGUUAAAAAGCUCGUAGUUGAACUUCAGGCCUGUCCAGACGGUCCGCCUUAAUUGGUGUGUACUGUCCUUGGGUGGGUCCUACCUUCUGGCGAAGCGGCAUGGCCUUAAUUGGUUGUGUCGGGGAACCAGGACUUUUACUGUGAAAAAAUUAGAGUGUUCAAAGCAGGCAAAUAUGCUCGAAUACAUUAGCAUGGAAUAAUGGAAUAGGACGAUGGUUCUAUUUUGUUGGUUCUAGGACCGUUGUAAUGAUUAAUAGGGAUAGUUGGGGGCAUUAGUAUUCAAUUGUCAGAGGUGAAAUUCUUGGAUUUAUUGAAGACUAACUACUGCGAAAGCAUUUGCCAAGGAUGUUUUCAUUAAUCAAGAACGAAAGUUAGGGGAUCGAAGACGAUCAGAUACCGUCGUAGUCUUAACCAUAAACUAUGCCGACUAGGAAUCGGGCGA
rnacentral:rRNA from 1 species